rnacentral:snoRNA from 2 species
CUUCACUGAUGAGAUCCUGUUUGUGCCGUCGUGUCUGGGCCACUGAAGCCUUGUGAUGGAGUUGAGGAUCUGAGGAG